rnacentral:lncRNA from 1 species
CUAGAUUUGGAAGGGUCAUGAAAGGAUGGCAGCAACUCAUUUUGUCUUCUUGUCUACUGCAAUCCAACUCCUGUCCAUGUUUGCAGCAUAUGCAUUUUAAAAUGUGAGUCUGAAACCUAGGGCUAGACAUGAUAGUGAUAGUCUAGCCUCAUGAGUCAUGUCUAGACUAUAGCGAUCUGAUCAGGAUCAGACUUAUCCCAGUGGCAGUGGGAAUGUCUU